rnacentral:rRNA from 1 species
CCUACGGGUGGCAGCAGUAGGGAAUCUUCCACCAUGGACGAAAGUCUGAUGGAGCAACGCCGCGUGAGUGAAGAAGGGCUUCGGCUCGUAAAGCUCUGUUGGUAGUGAAGAAAGAUAGAGGUAGUAACUGGCCUUUAUUUGACGGUAAUUACUUAGAAAGUCACGGCUAACUACGUGCCAGCAGCCGCGGUAAUACGUAGGUGGCAAGCGUUGUCCGGAUUUAUUGGGCGUAAGGCUAGUGAAGGCGUUUCAAUAAGUCUGAUGUGAAAGCCUUCGGCUCAACCGGAGAAUUGCAUCAGAAACUGUUGAACUUGGGGGCAGAAGAGGAGGGUGGAACUCAAGGUGUAGCGGUGGAAGGCGUAGAUAUAUGGAAGAACACCAGUGGCGAAGGCGGCUAUCGGUCUGCAACUGACGCUGAGGCUCGAAAGCAUGGGUAGCGAACAGGAUUAGAUACCCUAGUAGUC